rfam:Loxodonta africana unplaced genomic scaffold scaffold_23, whole genome shotgun sequence.
GCAUUAGUGGUUCAGUAGUAGAAUUCUCGCCUUCCAUGUAGGAGACCUGGGUUCAAUUCCCAGCCAGUGCA